UAUGAAUGCUGGCGGCGCGCCUAACACAUGCAAGUCGAGCGGUAACAUGGACUUCGGUCUGAUGACGAGCGGCGGACGGCUGAGUAACGCGUGGGAACAUGCCCCAAAGUGAGGAAUAACUGCCCGAAAGGGUAGCUAAUGCCGCAUAUGAUCUUCGGAUUAAAGGAUUUAUCCGCUUUGGGAGUGGCCCGCGUUCGAUUAGGUAGUUGGUGAGGUAAAGGCUCACCAAGCCUACGAUCGAUAACUGGUCUAAGAGGAUGAUCAGUCAGACUGGAACUGAGACACGGUCCAGACUCCUACGGGAGGCAGCAGUGAGGAAUCUUCCACAAUGGGCGAAAGCCUGAUGGAGCGACGCCGCGUGCAGGAUGAAGGCCUUCGGGUUGUAAACUGCUUUUAUAAGUGAAGAAUAUGACGGUAACUUAUGAAUAAGCACCGGCUAACUACGUGCCAGCAGCAGCCGCC
rnacentral:rRNA from 1 species